AAUACAAGUAUAGUGGAUUGGAAUUCCCAAGUAGGAGCUUGGAGAGUGGAUGUAGGUGCAAGGUUGGCACCGAACCACUAUAAAUCCUUGUGUUUGUGGUGUGCUUUAUUGUUUCCCUUUAUUUCUUUAUUAUAUCCUUGCAUUCUUGCUUUAGGUAAUUAAUCUUGAAUUAAAGUCUUUGUUCUCGUUCAUCAUAAGUAAUUAAUUAAGCCUAAAAUUUUUAGAAACCCAAUUCACCCCCCCUCUUGGGUUGCAUAGCUGGGCAACAGAGAUCAUCCCUACCUUCGGUAGCUUCGACAUUAAGCAGAUCCCAAGAGCAGAAAAUACCAGGGCCGACCUUCUCUCCAAGCUGGCUACACUAGCUCCGACUGAACUGCCUAAGGAAGUCUUCUUCGAAGUUCUGAGGUGCCCAAGCAUGGAAGAAUCACAGCCUAUGAUGGAGAUCGGCCAUGAACCCAGUU
rnacentral:lncRNA from 1 species